rnacentral:rRNA from 1 species
GUCUCCGGACAUAUAAGCCUGAAGGCGCUAGAUCAUGUCUGCCCUCAAAAGUUAAGCAGGGUCGGGCCUGGUUAGUAUCUUGGAUGGGAGACCACCUGGGAAUCCCGGGUGCUCGAGGCU